GGAGAACAUAAACGGCAUGCAUGCAUUUUCUUUUGAAGAUCCCUAUCUGCAGAAAAGGGAGAACUCAUACAACAUGCAUGCAUUUGCUUUUGAAGAUCCUUAUCUGCAGGAAAUGUUGCCUAUCAAAAACAUGUCUUUAUUCCCAUUUACCAGGCUCAUAUUCUUCGUAUCCAUAUCUGAGCUUCUGUUCUGCUGAUUUCUUUAGGGAGAAUUCGCCCAACAUGCAUGCGUUUGCUUUUGAAGAUCCCUAUUUGUAGAAAAGGUUGCCUUGAAAAAAUGUCCUUUUUUCCCAUUAACAUGCUCAUAUUCUUCAUAUCCAUAUCUGAGCUACUUGCUGGGAGAACACAUACAGCACACAUGCAUUUGCGCUUGAGGAUCCCUAUUUGCAGAAAAGAUGCAAGAGCUCAGUAGAAACACAGAGAGACAUAUCAUCAGGGUUUGAGCCGACUUCUCCAUGUUUUGAGCACCUUCAUUCAAGAAAGGACAAGGACUUCGUAACUUUUGAUGAAACCAGGCGUACAGACCGGAAAUGGAAUUUCAAUGAACCCACUUGGUCUUAUCUUGAAGAUGAAGACCUAAAGGAUAGCUUGAGCUUGUUGAGGGGCUUACUUGUGAGAAUUACUCUUAGAUCCUUUCUCCGGUUUUUGUUAGUGUGGGGCGACAAAGCUGAACAUUCAACCCAAUGGGGGGACUGGAAGGCAGCAUGAGGAAACAUGAAAGUGAUGUCGACCUGAGUCCAGGAAGUAUGUAUAAUUCAAAGCAUCUGAACGGAAAGGAUGCAUAGACAGGAGUGAUAUUCACCAAAAAAAGAAUUCUGAAGGGUCAGGAAAGAAAACAGGGGUAACUAAGCUGUCUAGGAGAAAAGAGAUCUCUAAGGUCAAGAAGGAUUUGGAAUCAAAGUUCAAUGCUUUGUAUGAGGAAGAAUAUACCUUGUGGGAUAUGGAACUAAGCAACAAUUCUUUCCUAAAAACUACGUUAGAGUCAAAUGCAACAUCCUUGGAAUGCAAUGUUGGGUCUGAAGGUCUGUGAAGUAUGUAUCCCCAUUCCAAAUUAUACACCAACGAACAGCCGCUUGGUAAUACACGCACACCCAAUGCUCCAUCGAAGCAGGCUCCUCCCUUCAGCUUCAAUUUAAGGAAGAUGUAUAUCAGGAACCACUCAGUCCAGUACAUCCUGAUCAUCAUAGUUUUUCGAUCACUGAAUCUAUUUCAAGGAAGCUGGAUACACCUCAUUCCAAAUUAUGCACCAACAAUCAAGAGCUGUUUAGGAGAGGUACGCUCGUAGAAAUGGAUUACUUCUUUUAGGUGGUAGGAGGUGCUGCUUUCGAGACUCUUGGUAGGCAUUACUCUGCUACUACCACACUUUGCCCGCCGAUCCAAAAUGUUGGGGAAUGCCCAUAAGCCUUUGAUCCGUCGAUGAAGUUUCACCUGCAACAGAGUGGGGGUGGAUGAAACCCGUACCUCCGAACUGAUCCAGUGAAGUAGAUGUCUAAUCGAAGCGGAUACCAGACAAGGUUGGUAACGGGACGGAGGCUAAAGUUCGCGCUUGGUAAGAGACGGAAACCUGAUGCUCCAUCAAAGCAGGCCCCUCCCUCCACCUUUAAGGAAGAUGUAUUUCAGCAACCACUCAGUCCAGUACAUUCUGAUCCAAAUAGUUUUUCGAUCACUGAAUCUAUUUCAAGGAAGCUGGAUACACCUCAGAUGUCCAGGUCAGAAGGUGAGCCUCCAUAUUCAUAUCACACAAUUGAUCCUCAAGGAGGCGCAUCAUUUCCUGCUUUACCCAGAGAGAGGAAUGACGACCCAGAAUGUGAAGACAGACCAGAACAUCAACAAAGUGAUUGUGGGUUUCUUCCUGAGACAGAGAAAGAAGUUUCUGUUGGAAUCAAUGGCCUCUUAUCACAAGAUGAGGAAACUGUGGACGAUUCAGAUUAUAAGGAUUCACAAAGCAAGUACAAAGGAAUACGUGAUGAAACUCCAGAGCUGAUACAAAACUCAAAAGCAAGAUAUUAGUCUGAAAACUCAGAAGAAAUAUCAUGUGCUUCUAAGGAGAUUCUCGUCAAGCCAAAGAUCUGUAUGGAUGACACGCGACAUCAAUUUCAUGCUGGCUUGCCUUUGCCAAUUCAAAGUGGAAGAAAAGGAAAUGAAGAAACUCAAGAACUUGAGAGAAUUGAAGGAGGUAAAAGAGGGAAAAGGAAUGAUACAGCCUAUAUGGUGAUGCUCGAAAGCUACGUGCUUCAGCUUCUGUGUGUGCAGAAGGUACUAAAGAAGGAACAUCUGAACACGAGCCAUAAAAAAGAAAUGGAACUCUUUCACUAUUACCUUUCCCAAUUCGGAAAGUCUAUGGAACUUCUCAAAUACUUGUGUAGAUCUAGUGGAGAUGGUGUAACAGUUACUGACGCCUCUUCAAAAAUCCAGCUUGCUUUUUCGUCACCCAGACCUAAAUAUUCCAGUGCCCUUGCCCCAUUUUCUGCAGUCGUCACUGCAACAAUGCAAAUUAAAGUUCAAAUAAUUCGGCGAAAGUAGCUAGAACUGGCGAAUAGAAAAUCAAAUUUCAAGAACAAAACCAAAUCAUGUAGAAAAUGCCCACACCUUUACAAUCAGAUUUCUUCAAAAGCAACUCUAUCAGUUUCCUGUCAAUGAUAUUAUCAUCAACAGCUAGCACAUGAAGUGCUUCUUCUCCCAAACCCAGUCCAUUUGACAAAGACGAUAGCGUUGCUGAUGAUGAAGAAGCCAUGGUUUCACACUAUUAGAGAAAGAGAGAGUGUUCCUUUAAUACUAGUCUACUUUAUUGAACACCAGAAGCAGUGUAUAGUAUAGAGAUGGGUCACAUCUACUGGUGAAUUGGAUUUUCGAUCUUACAUGAUUUAUGGUGCAUGGUUCCACUAG